UCCCGCUGCUUUUCUAAGGGACCCUGGCCAUGUAUGGACCCAUUCGAGCAGCUGCUUGACCUGCAAUAAGGGAGUUUGUCCAUUGAGGAAUAUGUCACUCAGUUUUGCGGUCUGUCUUUUAAGGUACCUUUUAAUGAGAUCGUACUAAAAGACAUUUUUCGUUUCGGACUAAAUGAGCCCAUAAAAUCAAGGUUACCUGAGGGGAAGUUUAAUUGUCGUCUAAGGGACUUUACUGACUAUGCUUUGCUGUCUGCUGGCUCUUUGUUCACUGUGGGUUUUGCGGAAGAGGAACACAACACCGUGUCUGUGCCUGUAAUGGUGGACGCACCAGUUUACAUGCACAAAAUGGUGGCAGCAGCAGAUCCUGUUCACAAAAUGGCAGCCACGGCAAUGCUCAGUCAUGUCACUGCUGCCAUUCAUGAGUCAGGCCAUGUCAUCACUGAUCUUCACAAGUCAAAUCAGGUCACCACUGAUCUACACGAGUAAAGUCAAGUCACCGCUGACCUUCACGAGUCAAGUCAAGUCACCGCUGAUCUUCACGAGUCAAGUCAAUUUACCAUUAAUCUUCCUGAGUCCAGUCAAGUCACCGCUGAGCUUCCUGAGUCCAGUCAAGUGACGGCUGAACUUCCUGAGUCCAGUCACGUCUCAGCUGAACUUCCAGAGUCUCGUCACGUCUCAGCUGAACUUCCAGCGUCUCGCCACGUCUCAGCUGAACUUCCAGCGUCUCAUUACGUCUUGUCUGUUGCACCCAGAGCCUGGAGGUCAGAUCUUCAGUAUCCCAGUAUCCCAGACUGGCAUCAGUAAGAGCAGCUGGUAUCCCUAAACCAGUGCGCUCAACUCCUCCUGUGCAGAAACUGAUUCCCCAGUCUGAAGUGCUUCCCAUGAUGGGGAUUGUUUUAUGUUGCGUUUGGGCUGCGUACACCACCACUGAAUUUGUAGUAGACCUUUACAAACUUUCUUUAAUUGCAGGCUGAGCUGGAUGCUGAAUCGAAAGAGUGAGCCGUAACACUUAAGGUUUGUGCUGAGUUUCAUCAUAUCAGAGAAAGUGGCACACACCAGCAAGAUUUCACAGAUGUUGCAUGACAUUCUAAAUGUUUGAUCUUCAGGUGAGUGCAAAUUCAUGAACACUAACUACCUCCAUCACGGUCUUCACUGUAUAUAAAAUAAAGUUGGCCUGCUUGUUUAACAUGUUUAUUUUUAUUUUUUGUUUACAUGAUGUCAACCUGAAACGAGCCCUUCAUGCUCUCCAAGUGUACAUGUGUGAGGAGAACUGUUCUUCGGGACAUGAAAUGAGGAAUUGGGCGAGCCAGACAUCACUGACACAAACACCUCUCCUGCUGAUUUUGUUAUCAUGGACAACGAAACCACUACAAGUCCUGCAAGCAAUGCAGUUGUGAUGAGAUGACCUUCCAGUGUUUGAAAUUCA